GAUGAACGCUAGCGGCAGGCCUAAUACAUGCAAGUCGAGGGGUAGAAGAGGCUUGCUUCUUUGAGACCGGCGCACGGGUGCGUAACGCGUAUGCAACCUACCUUCAUCUGGGGGAUAGCCCGGAGAAAUCCGGAUUAAUACCGCAUAAAAUCACAGGAUGGCAUUAUCCAAUGAUCAAACAUUUAUGGGAUGGAGAUGGGCAUGCGUGUCAUUAGCUAGUUGGCGGGGUAACGGCCCACCAAGGCGACGAUGACUAGGGGAUCUGAGAGGAUGGCCCCCCACACUGGUACUGAGACACGGACCAGACUCCUACGGGAGGCAGAAGUAAGGAAUAUUGGUCAAUGGGGGCAACUCUGAACCAGCCAUGCCGCGUGCAGGAAGACUGCCCUAUGGGUUGUAAACUGCUUUUAUUCGGGAAUAAACCUUAUUACGUGUAAUAAGCUGAAUGUACCGAAGGAAUAAGGAUCGGCUAACUCCGUGCCAGCAGCCGCCGUAA
rnacentral:rRNA from 1 species